GAUGAAGAACGUAGCAAAAUGCGAUACUUGGUGUGAAUUGCAGAAUCCCGUGAACCAUCGAGUUUUUGAACGCAAGUUGCGCCCGAAGCCUUUUGGCCGAGGGCACGUCUGCCUGGGCGUCACGCAUCGCGUCGCCCCCCACAAUUCUCCGUAAAGGGAACAUGUGUUUUGGGGGCGGAUAUUGGUCUCCCGUGCUCAUGGCGUGGUUGGCCGAAAUAGGAGUCCUUUCGAUGGACGCACGAACUAGUGGUGGUCGUAAAAACCCUCGUCUUUUGUUUCGUGCUGUUGCUCGCAAGGUAAACUCUUUAAAAACCCCAAUGUGUCGUCUCUUGACGACGCUUCGACCGCGACCCCAGGUCAGGCGGGACUACCCGCUGAGUUUAAGCAUAUCAAUAAGCGGAGG
rnacentral:misc_RNA from 1 species